GUGGUCACCAUUCGUACGUGGGGCACAUUCGUGCAGUUAGUAUAGCAGAAAAACUAAACGGCACACAAACACGCCUUUGCUUGUGUGCAUAGACAUACCGGCCGCCAUAUUGUUAGCGGAGUGGCGCGGCAGUCGCACCACGGUGUAUCGGCUGACAAAACGUAACGUGUUUUCGCGCGCGAAUCAUGGUGCGAAAAUAUAAAAAAGGGCACGCGUAUUAAAAGGGUACACGUACAUUGGGAAGAAACCGGGAUCAUCAUGGUCAUUCUUUUUCCCUGUUAUAGAAGACAUACACACUCUGUAUACCAGUGAUGUCGCCAUGAUCCUCCCUGAUCCAGAACCAAGAGCGGGCUGCACAGCUAGAAUGGCUAGACUUUUUACUUUUGCAGUUAAUUUAAAUAAUUAUAAUGUGCAAUAACUAAGUAAUAAUCAAAAUGUAUGAUUGCCUAUUUUAAGUUUUAAUUGUCAAAGACUGUACAACAAUCCCAUAUAAAGUGAUUGUAAAGAUCUCAUUUAGACUUAUUUAUUAGUAAAUUUAGAAUUAUCAAUAAGUAAACUAAGGAUGAAUGAUUUAAUGUUUUGUUAUUUUUCUAAAGAAAGAUUUAUCGACUAUGAGUCAAUUCAAAUAUUAUUAAGUUAGUUCUUUGAGAAAUACAUAUUUUUAUAAUAAUUAAUAAAAAUUUAACGACUUUA